CCUACGGGUGGCAGCAGUGAGGAAUAUUGGUCAAUGGGCGCGAGCCUGAACCAGCCAAGUCGCGUGAGGGAGGACGGCCCUACGGGUUGUAAACCUCUUUUGCCGGGGAGCAACGGGCGGCACGUGUGGCGCCACUGAGAGUACCCGGAGAAAAAGCAUCGGCUAACUCCGUGCCAGCAGCCGCGGUCAUACGGAGGAUGCGAGCGUUAUCCGGAUUGAUUGGGUUUAAAGGGUGCGUAGGCGGAUCGGUAAGUCAGUGGUCAAAUUGAGGGGCUCAACCCCUUCCCGCCAUUGAAACUGGCGCUCUUUAGUGGAAGAGAAGUAUGCGGACUGCGUGGUGUAGCGGUGAAAUGCAUAGAUAUCACGCAGAACCCCGAUUGCGAAGGCAGCAUGCCGGCUUCCGACUGACGCUGAAGCACGAAAGCGUGGGGAUCGAACAGGAUUAGAUACCCUUGUAGUC
rnacentral:rRNA from 1 species